AAGCAUGACUUGACACUGAGGGAGAGUACCAUAAGAAGAUGUUUUCAGGUAAGAUACCAACUUUCAAGUUAGACUCGAAAGAAAGAGAUAUCGAGAAGUUCCUCUUCAUUGAAGGCAUGUCUAAUAUAAAGAAAGAAGCCAGCUCUUCGGUGAAUUUGCUUAAAUGAAAUCACACAUUUUGCCCUCGACAUGUAAAAUGGGUAACUCAGCACCUACAGGUGACUGCAUCAUGACUUGUCACGCAUUCUCAUCUUCCCGAACAA